GUCAAUUCCAAGUACUACUGACUACAGUUACCUCUGUAAAGUUGGCUGGGAAGAACACUUGGAUACACGCUUCACACUGUAAGAAGGUUCCUGACCCAGAGGAAGCGGAUCCCACACCAACAUGAGCCUUUUAUAUUUAUGUUUGCUGCUAGGCCUCUUAGAGGCCCAACAAGUUGCUAUUACCAAAGACAAUCAUGUUUACACAUUUUGGUACAAUUCUUCCAACACACAUGUGGCUACAUUUACUUUUGAUUACUGUGAUAUUGUUACUAGUACUUUCCCACAAUCACAACACUCAGCAAUAUAUAAAGACAUACCAAACAAGAAGGACCCAUACAUUUGUGUGAUGGGCGGUCAUUGGGGACAUCACUGUAGCUCAUGGAAAGCAGCGGGUUGGAGCACAGGCCGACCAUGGGGUUACAGACCGCAGACUGCCUUAG